rnacentral:tRNA from 1 species
GCCUCAGUAGCUCAAUGGACAGAGCGCCUGACUUCGGAUCAGUAGGUUCCGGGUUCGAAUCCUGGCUGGGGCG